UACGAAGGGGGCUAGCGUUGCUCGGAAUCACUGGGCGUAAAGGGUGCGUAGGCGGGUCUUUUAAGUCAGGGGUGAAAUCCUGGAGCUCAACUCCAGAACUGCCUUUGAUACUGAGGAUCUUGAGUACGGGAGAGGUGAGUGGAACUGCGAGUGUAGAGGUGAAAUUCGUAGAUAUUCGCAAGAACACCAGUGGCGAAGGCGGCUCACUGGCCCGAUACUGACGCUGAGGCGCGAAAGCGUGGGGAGCAAACAGG
rnacentral:rRNA from 1 species